UCAGAGUUGUGCAAAAACUUAUCAACACGUAUAAUUCAGCCAGUAAUUCCAGCUUUGUUUUUGUAAAAUCAUCA